rnacentral:lncRNA from 1 species
GAGACAUAUCACAGUGUCAUCCUUGUGGCAUGGUCCUUGUGAAAGAGCUCCAUCUCCUGUUUGCCCGGCCUAGCAAUAUGUCACUAUCAAGGGGCACACCUGCAGAAACUGGUUGUUUUACCAAGGACUUGAUUGAAAGGGUUUGCUUCCCUUUAAGGAGUCAAGCUCAACUUGCAGAGCCAAUAAAAGCCCCUUGGAAAAACAGGACUCAUACCUCAUCUAUACAGUCAUAGUGCAGGUUUAUCUGUGGAAAGUAAAGAAUGACACUUUCUGACAGCCCCAGGGACUCCAACUUUAUCUUGGGACCAUAAGAGGAGAGAAUCACCCAACUCAUAAGU